UGUGAUAGUGUGAGCCGGGGUAAGCUUGGUGCUACCUCUUUUCUUUUGUUGUUAUGUUCUUUGAAAUAAGAGUAUUGAGAGUUUCUGAAUAUUGUGAAGUGAAUCAUGGAAUAAAAGUGUGAAUGGAAUUAUAUGUUAUUGAAUGAGAAGAAGAGAGAUUGAAUGCUGAAAUCUGAAUGUAAUUCAGCAGAAAGAGUGUAUCUGUGGUUGUGUGAAACACUGUAAUGUGAAUGGUAGUUCUGUGUGAAGAAUUCCAGUAAUUGGAAUGAGGGUAAUUGUGUGCUGAAGCUGUGAUGUUGAGGUAUUACAGUUGAAGAUUAUAAGAGUGAAGAUAUAUUGGUGGAAAUAAUAGUUAUUAGUAUGACUGAAUUGUUGCAAGGAAGAGAGUGAUAAGGUGAAAGGAGAGAUUAUCGUUUUCCUAUGUGCUUAGACAAUGGAAAUAGUGACGAUAUAUUGGAGGUAAUUAAUUGUGUGACCCUAACGUGAACGCUCAAGCAACUAGUCACUCUCCAUGUUCGAAUUCCCCUAUAUGGGUUUAUUCUGGGAAGUUUCUUCCGGAAUAAGUAAAACGAAAAAUCACAGUAUCAAAUUAAAGUUUAGAGGAUUUAUCAAUCAAAAAUAACUUGUAAUUGAACUUCAACCCCAAAACUAUCCAACUCCAGGAUUGCAAGUUAGAUUCAUUGGUACGCUUCAUUAAGGUUCAACAUUAUCAUGGUUUUCAUCUUUUCUUGAACGACGAGUGUAGAAUAGAUAAAUAAACUUUGUGGUAAGUUAUUGGUUGGUUAUUGACAACCUUGAGAAUUAGACUGAUGGUUAGGCAGUUUAGUUGAUAAUAGUAGGUUGUUAGUGGAAUAAAUGGUUAAGAAUUCAAAGGGUCAUAACCUUUGGAAUCUGUUGGCCAAUGGAUCAUCUUUUUGGUAGGAUAAAUAGGUUGAAAAAAAUAAGCCGAGAGCCAAACUGUGAAAGUCGUAAGCUGAGGUAAGCUUGGUGCUACCUCUUUAUUUUCUUUAUUAUUUGCUUAUGAAGAAUUGUGAUUGAGAGAAGUAUUGUUGAAUUGAUAAUCAUAGAAUGGAUUAUGGAUUGAAUUAAGAUGGAAGUACUAAGCCUCAAUAUUUUAUAGUUUGAUAAUUGAUUUUAAAUACCCAGAGUAUAAUCAAUUAUAACACUAACAUAUCUAAUUUAUAUAACUAGUCUUUCCUCGUGUUCGAAUCCACUUCUAUUAGUUCAAUUACUUUGGUCUACUGAAGCUUGAACGCAACGAGUUAUUAUCUACAAAUUUCAAUGGAAAUAUUUCUAGAUAAUUUUUGUACAUUUAGUACGAGAGCCUAACAUUAAGAAUAUCUACGUCAAUGUUUGAAUUAAUGUGCCAAAUAUGGAAUUUCUUUAAAUUCAAAAAAGUACCAAUUUGGUAUACCUUUGGGUAAACUGUAGGAUCAUAUAGUUUCGAUGGCAAGCAUUGCUACAGAUCCAGAUAAAAUAAAGAUUAUAGUAGAAUUAAAGCAACCAGACACUGUUACGAGUAUUCGAGCAUUUAUUAGCGAUGUCACUUAUUAUCAGUAAUUUAUCUAUCUAUUUGUAUUUAUAUGCCUUUUUUUAAUAAAUCUCUUGAAAAAACCACCAAUUGAUGGGAUCAGUCCAUUUUGGACAAAGGAAUAUAUAAUUACAUUCAAAACAUUGAAAUAGAAAUUAGUUUUAGCACCAAUCUUGGUGGCACCUUGUUGGACUUAACCAUUUCAAGUUUAUGUGAAUGCAUCUAAUGACGCGAUUGGUUCUGUGCUAAGCCAAAAAGAUGAGUAGGAUUUUGAUCACCCUAUUUAUUAUGUAAGUCAUCAAUUGAUAGCAGCCGAAAGAAAUUAUACAACAACUGAACAAGAAGCAUUGGGGAUGAUUUAUUCCAUACAAAAAUUUGACAUUAUCUUCUUGGAUAUAAAUUUGUUUUUUAUGUCGACUGUGAUGCUUUAAAAUAUAUGAUUAAUAAAUCUCAAUUGAAUGGUCAUAUUGUACAAUGGGUUCUACUCUUGCAGGCAUUUGAUUUUAUUAUUCAGGUAAGACAAAGAAAAUCACAUUUCAAUGUAGACCAUUUAUCUCGGUUAUCUAAUGUAUUGGGUAAUGAACCCAUUAACGAUGCACUACCUGAUGCAAAAUUAUUUGCGAUAGAUGUAAUUACUCAGGAGUAUAAUGAAAUAAUUCAAUACUUGACAUUUCAAACCUUCCCACCUAAUUUCAAUGAAAAGCUUAACUGCCGCUUAAUAUUAAAAUGUACACCUGAUACGAUGAUUGGUGAAGUUUUAUAUCAACAAGGCAAAGAUGGAGUUUUGCGACGCUGUAUUUAUCAGACUGAAGUGAAUACUAUAUUGGAAGGCAGCUACUUGGACAGUUGUGGUGGACAUUUUGCGGGAGAGAGCAUGGCUUGUAAAGCCUUACAAACUGAUUAUUGGUGGCCAAUAAUAUUUGCAGAUAUCCACCAAUUUGUCUAUCAUUGUGAUCCAUGUCAGAGAAUGGUGUCGUGUUGUGGUUUGGCUACUAUAUGAAAAUAAUGUAAUUAUAUACUUAAUAUAUACUUUAUUAAGUAACAUGGUGAGAGCCAUGUUAGUAGAUUUUAAUUGGUUGUAGAAUAUAAUUUGAUUAUUACCUUGAGAAGAGGUUGUUUAAAAAGAUUACUAUAGAAUUUGUAUAACUUUAAUUUCCUUUUGAUAGUGGCUUUUAAGAUUGGUUUUGGUUGAUAGUAACUUCUACAUACUUAGAAUCACCUUUGUUAGACAUUGGUGACCUUUGAAAACUUCUUUUGGUUCUUUUAUUUGGUGUUUAGAGCAUAAAUUAUAUAAAUCUUAUAAGAAAAAGGAUUGAAAAAGGAUUUUGGUAGCAAAGGGAGUAAUUAGGAUACCAAUAUACAUGAAUGGAGAUGAAUAAUAAAAAUCUCCAUUCCUAUUGGUCAAAAAUCAUGACCAAUGGGCUUUGAGGAGGCUGCCCGAGGCCAUAUUAGAGAUGAGGGUUAGUUUCUUCGAAGCCAUUUGAGUUUUGAAGGCUAAGGUCAGAAGGUUUAGGUUUUUGGCUAUAGUUUUGGUUCAAGUUUUGUAUGGUUUGGAGUAUAUAUGAAGGAGAUAUAAGUGCUCAAAGUUAAGGUAUUGAUUUGGGAGCUAUUGUCACUCUUUUUGGCAUAAUGCACACGUACAGAUAGCAAUUAAGGAUUGGCAACUACGACUGGAGAAAGAACUUUUGCAGCUAUACUUUUUACAUACUGCUUAUUAGAUUCUAAGUUGAACUAAAGGAGUUCUUGGAUUUUAAAGUCAGUGUAUGCAAUCUAAGGAUAGUAAGUAAUCCAAUUUGCUAGUGGUUGUUUCUUGAGCUAUAUCUUGAGUAAUUUGACAAGGUUUUGGUUCAAAAUUUCAAAGAAUGUGUAAUUUCAUGUUAAUAAACUUUAUACAUAAUUUUUAUGAUAUUUGGAGUUUGGAUUUUUGAGAUAUAAGAAAAAUAGUUUUUCAGGUGCUUGUAAAUUAGGGUUUAGAGUACCUGUUAGGAUUUCUUAGAUGCCAGAAGAUUAGAAGUGAAUUUAUGAUUGGCUUUUUUUUGUAAUAAAAGUUAAGGAUGGAUUUUACCUAUCCUAUAUAUUUAAGAUAAACUGAAUAGUUAGAUCAAUAGUUAUGAUUUUCUAAAGUUUAGGACAAGAAAACCCUUUGAAGAAAAAAUAUGUUUUAAAGGGAUUUUGUUAUACUUGGAGUUUUAUACAAAAAUAAAGGAGUUUUGGAAGCUAAGACAAGAAUCAUAUAAAGGUUUAAGCUACACUUUCUACAGUUAGAUACCCAGUAUAUUUCCAAAUAGCAAAUCACGCCAUACGACAGACCUGAUGAACCUACUAGAACUUCAGGAAUGCCAUUGGUACCAAUUCUGGCUCAAGCACCUUUUGAAAAAUGGAGAAUUGAUUUUGUAGGACCAAUUACACCAGCCUCGAGAAAUGGAAAAAAACUCUAUAUACUAGUAGUAAUGGAUUACGUAACAAAAUGUGUUGAAGCAGUAGCUACAAAAAUUGAUAGUACAAGUACAGUAGUAACUUUUUUGUAUGAAAAUAUUAUUACACGGUUCAGUUGUCCACAAGAAUUGGUUAGUGAUCGAGGAACUCAUUUUAUAAAUAAUACAAUUGAAGCACUUAUGGCUAAAUACGAGGUAAAACAUCAUAAGACUACACCAUAUCAUCUUAGAGUCAAUGGACAAAUAAAAAAGACUAAUAGAAUUUUAUGUAGAAUCUUCACUAAAACAGUUUCAGGAGUGGGAAUAGAUUGGGACACUAAGUUGUUUACAGCUUUAUGGACAUACCGUAUUACGUAUAAAGUUACUACCAAUGCUACUUCUUUCCAAUUGGUUUAUGGCCAGGAAGCAAUAUUAUUUAUUGAAUUGGAAGUCCAAAAUUUACAAAUUGCUAUAGAUAAUAGAUUGAGAGAUCAGAAUUCAUUACGGCACCAUUUAGAAGAAUUGGACAAAUUAGAUGAAACUAGAACCAAUGCAUUAAUGAUAAUAGAAACUAUCCAAAAAUGAAUGAAGACUUAUUAUGAUAGUAAGCUUAGACCAAAGGCUUUUAUGCCAAAUGAUUUGGUACUUCUUUAUGAUAGUCGAUUUAAAAAUUUUCUAGAAAAGUUUCAAAUUCAAUAGCAUGGGCCAUAUCGAGUUAUUGAAGGAUUUCCAAAUGGUUCAGUACAAUUGGAUGAUUUUAUGGGUACUAAAUUGAUGACACAAAUCAAUGAUAAUCGAUUUAAACUUUAUUAUCCAGAAACUCGGGACGGGUUUUCUGUUACAAAAGGAAGAGAUGACCCAAUUGAUUGGACCAUAGUAGGAAGUAAGAGGGGGGCUCUUGACAAGCAUCAUAUUUUCUUUUGUGGUUAAGGAGAAGAUGGCGAAUAUGGUAUUUGAGAUAGUUUGGAUGGCAAACCAUCAAACACUGAGGAAGAUGAUAAAGAUGUAAAGAGGAGAAGGUCACCAAUUCAAAAGGUGAUAAGCCAACGCUAUCAUAUUACAUGAUAUCUUGCUUGAGAAUGUGCCGGGCGUCUAGCUGUAGGAGGUAGUAUGGUGUUUCGCUAGUAUUCAAGCACUCUAUCAGGUUCUUGACUACCCAAAUACAAUCUAUAUUGGAUUGCAAUAUGAAAGCUUAAUUCCAAUAUAAAAUGCCUAGAGAUCCUAUAUAACUUCAAUCUCUUUUGUUAUUUUUUUUUAUUUUAUCUUUAUCGUUAAUUACCUUAAUCCUAGACCGUGAACUUCAGUAAGUUGUAAUCCUCAAUCUGCCCUUUCGACUUGUUGUGAAACAUCUAUCACUAGUAUCUGCAAGCCCUUUCGAAUGCUCAAGAAGUUCCAAUUCAACUCCACUUACAAAUUGUGAGGCUAUGCUGCAAUCUGCACCGAUGUCCCUUGGCCGCUCGCCAAUAUUCCUCUUAUCCCUGUCGGUAGGUUCCCAGUUAUCAUAGAAACUCUAAACAAAUCCCAAUUUAUCAACUCCCAAAACCUCUUUAAACUGUUGGCAGAUAUCCUAUAUCCGUAUAAUCAGAUUUAGACAACCACGCAUGCAUUCAGCAUACUCAACCUUCUAGACAACUCUAAAUUUCAACCACAGAAGUAUCUCCCAUUCCAACAACAAUCAAGAGUACCAGCCUUUUCCCUCUUUCGGAAAAAAUCCAAUUCACCAAUAUAACACUGACUUUCAGCAAUGAUUGUCUCAGUCUUCCCAAAACCCUAUGAAGAAAAAAAACCCCAAUUCUCUGUCUUUUUUUUCGAAGCAUGAAGCUAACUCUCCUCCCUUAAAACCCUGAUUCUCCUCCCUUCAUUUCUUAACCUAUCCUCCCCUUUAACCUUGAGAAGAUUCUAUUCUUCUGCCUUGGACUCCCCGAAUUUGAAUAGCCGACCUCCCCAUUUUUACCUUUAAGAGAUCUUUUUACAGAAAGGACGUUCCUGAAAUGGCACAAAGAACGGAAUAGCCUGAAACGGAAUCAAAGCCCCGUAAUUGAACCGCAUUGGGUUGCCCGACCAAGUCAGGUCUCAUAUUGGAUAAGAGGCCCGUAAUAGGACCUGGAUUAGAGGUCUUCUGAAGUUGGAUCCAAUUGGCUCUUCGAACCAGGCUCACCCAUCGUUGAAUUGGUCCUUUCCCUUUCUGCUGACUCUUGUUAUUGGAAUCGAACGGAGCAUUUCAUUAUUGGUGAAUAUGCCCCGGUUGACUAUAACGGGGUGACUGAACCUGGCCUCUCAGUAUUUACACUAGAAUUGGCCACCGCUUCUAACAUCCAAGGUGACUAAAUAUUAAUAAUCCUCUUCAUUUAUAUUUUCAUCAUAUAGACGUGUUACAACACGACAUCCACCCCCUCUCAACCUGUGUAUCCUCCGGUAUGCACUAAUUAACCUAAUUGCCGUUUGAUUCAUAAUAUGUUCUCCAAAUCUUCGUCUAGUCCAUCUCCACCGUCUUUGCUAUCCAAAUCAAUUUCAUCUUCCCACUGCAGAAUAUCUAUGUCUUCAUUUAGGUCUUCUAUAUUUAUUUCUGCAUAUCUUUGUUUAAACAAUUUCAAUCUCUUCCCUGCAAUUGGUAUUUUUAAUCUUGUGCCAUCUAACUCCCGCAAUGAAUAAGUCGCAUUAUCAUGAACAGUUGUUGCCACAAACGGUGUCGUAUUAUAAAUGCUUACAGUAUGUAAAAAUUAGUUAAAACAUAUUAUAUGUUAAUAAAUCUAAAUGUGUGUUAAAGUGAUUAAUAGAUUAAAUUAAAAAGAAUUUUUUUAAAAAAAACUUUAUUUUAUUUUCCUUACUUAGUUUGAUUAUAAUAUAUAAAAGUUAUAGAACCUUAAUGUUAAGUAUGAAGCCUUGAGAGGAGAUAGGGGCCUAAAGAUGAAGAUUUAAACUAAUAGGAGGUUAAUUGGGAGGGAUGAAACCAAGGCAUGGUUGGAUGAAGGUAGAAAUAAGGAUCUUCAUCCCCAUUGGUCGAAAUCCAUGCCCAAUGGGCUUUUAGGAGGCUGCCCGCGACCUUGAUAAGAGUUUCGGCGACUUCAAAGAGGCCAUUAGGAAAUCGGAGGCAAGGAUUGUAAAGUUUAGGGUUUUGGCUACAAUUUUUGUGCAAAUUUUAUAGGGUUUGGAGUUAGGGUGAAUAAGUUAUAGCCGUUUGAAGUUAAGGUGUCAAUUUGAGACCUACUGUUACUCUUUUGAGUUUAAGAGGAGUCUUACGGAAGCUUUUGGAGAUCGGAAGGUGCGGCUGAAAGGGCAACUUUAAGACAUACAUCUUUUACGAAGAAAAUUUUGCAUUUGGAGUUUAUGUAAAGGAGGUAUAGGGAGUUAAAGACAGCGCAUUCAAAUCAAAGGCAGUAAGUAAGCGGUUUUGUUCAAAGUAGUGUUAGGAGCCAUAACUUGAGUUUUCGAACGAAAUUUUGGUUCAAACUUUGAAAGAAUGUAAAAAUUUGUGUUAAAAAGCUAUCUAUAUAAGUUUCGUGGCAUUUGGACUUAUGGAUUGUGAGAUAUGAAGAAAAUUACGCGUGGGUAUAUAAAGAUUAGGGUUUGAAGCGGCUGUUAGGGUUUUGAAGAUAUCUCAAGAUCCGCAAAGAAUUUGCGGAUAAAAUUUGUUGUACAAAUUAAUAACAACAUAUCAGUACUUCAUGUAAAUUUUGAUCUUGUUUGGACGGUUGGAUCAAGAGUUAUGAGGUGUUGAGGUUCGGGAGAAUUUCCACACAAGGAUAUACAAGGUUUUAGAGUACUUCUACCAUAUUUUGGGUGUUGUUGGUUAUUUAAGACUUAAGUAUUUGGUGUAAUUGUCAAAAGGAGAACUUAUAUAUAUAAAAUUAGGAUUUCCUUAUUUUAAGCUUGAUUGAGCAAUUAGUGAUAGCCAGAAGCCCAGCGCUUUCUUGAGGCAAAACCUCUUUUUCCCAACAACGGUCCAAACCAAUGUUUUGAAAACUUCCGUAAAGUGCUAUAUUGGUUGUCCAGACUACUAUUAUAAACAAGUACCCAAUCACCUUCUUCAAUUACUUUAGGUCUCAAUCGAUGUUGCUUAUCAAAUCACGCCUUGUUUUGUAUCCUUGCUCUUUUUAACCUUUCUAAUGCUAUCUGCAUAUCUUCCGAUCUUUGCUCCAAUUGUCGAAUCCUAAUAGCCAGAAGUUCUUCUCUUGUCAAUCCAUCUUUCCAUGGUAGCAUACUCCAAGUAAGUACCCUUUCUUCAAUCGGCAUAAUUGGUUUUCAAUCUGUCAUAAGUUCUACUCGCAAAUAUCCUAUCACUGAAUUAUAUGUUGUUUGAUCAGCCCAUAAUGCAAAUGACAAAAGUCGUGGCCACUCUCUAACUUUCCCAUUACAAGCUUUAACUAAUGCUUUCACAAUCGCUGGGUGACCACAUUUGCUUUUUGCAUUCCCUUUUGGAUUAUAAGCAGUAGUCAGUGAUAGUUUAACUCUACAUCUUUUAAAGAAUUUACGAGCUUCUUGUGCAUUUAAUUCUCCAUGAUCUGCAGUGAUUUUUCCUAUGCAUCCGUAGCGGGAAAUGACAUCUUCAAGCAAAAACCUACAAAUCUCCUCUGUAGAUUUUGUCCUCAAUGCUCUUCCUUCUACUUGAUUUGAUAAAUCUUCACGAGCUAAGAUCAAAUAUCUCAUCUGCCAUAAUUCAACUGGCAUAAUAACCAAAUCAACAACCCAUUUAAAAUGAAUAGCCAGAAGAUACGUAGGAUGAAGACCAUCUCGAUGUCCGAUAUUAGAAUACGAUUGACAGAUUUCACAUGACUCUACAAAUGAGAGCACAUCUCGAUACAUAUUUUUCCACCAAUAUCGUUCUUUGAGUUUAGCAAAAGUAGUCCAGAUUCUUCUAUGCCGUGCCCAUAAACUAUCAUGAAACUCCUUUAAUAAUUUUAGUUUUUCUUCCUUAUUGCCUAUCACUCGUUGUGGCAUCCCAAUUCCUUUCUUCGGUCUCUUCCAUAAGAAUCCAUCUCGAAACAAAAAUCCAUAUGCUUUUUUUUCUUAUUUGUUUGAAUUUUACUAUAGACCAAUUCCCCUGCUUAGUCAAGGUAUUCAAGUAAUGACCAAUAUCCAAUAAUUCUCCUUCAUAAGAUUCUUCAAGAAAUACCUUGUCUUCUUUGUUGAAAUUUGAUAUUGAAUAGAAUUUCAAUCCGACGUCAUCAAUGUCUUCAACCAUUUCGUCUUCCUUCUCGUAUCUUACUUGAGAUAGCAUGUCUGGUCCUAAAUUGUCCUUCCUAGUAACAUGCUUAAAUUCUGGAUUAAGUGACUUAAUAUAAGCAAUCCAUCUCAACAUUGCAAUAUCUGGCGUUGAACAGUUAGUAAUCAUUCCAAGCAAUGGCAAGCAAUCUGUUUCAAUUACUACUACUGCCCUAAUCAAAUAGUCCUUUUCAGCUUUUAUAGCCGAAACAACUCCCCAAAGUUCUCUUUUGACUUGCGAAUAUGCACGCUGACGAAUACUUAAAACUUUAGCUCCAAAUCGAACUGCAAAUCUAUUCCCACUUGAAUCAUCUUGACCCACAGCCCAUCCAAUGGCAAUUAGACUAGUGUCUACAGUAAGAAUCACUGGUCUAUUGCACUUAUAAUCAACCUUCCUUAAUAUUGGAGGUGACAUCAAUAUUUUCUUCAAUCUCUGUAUUGCCUGAAUAUGCCGUUCUUUCCAUUUAAAUCAGUAGCCCUUGCAUAACAGUUCAUAUAAUGGAUCCGCUAUGUGAGCAUAAUGAGGGAUCUAGAUUCGAUAAAAUACACAUGCACCUAAAAACCUGCGAACCUCUGUUAAAGAAUCACAAUCCUCUUUCAUCCUUCCAAUUGCAUCAACUUUAGUCGGAUCUGGUUUUCUUCCAUAAGAUCCACAUAAAUGUCCAACAAUCACAACUUCUUGUAUUCCAAAUAUGGACUUCAUACCCGAUAAUAUAAGAUGAACUUCUCCAAGCCGAGUUAAAAUCUUUUUACAAUCUUGUAUAUGAUCAACAACAUAUUUACGACACCCCCUCUUAUCUAAAGUUUCAUCCUUGUCUCCUUCUCUGCACCCUUUUAUAAGAAUAUUAUCUCAAAAAGAUAUAGUCUUCUCCGGAAUAAAAUCUCUCAAUACCUUAUUCAUCUCAUUCAUCAUAUGCGCAAUUGAGUUGGUCGCGCCUUGAGGAAGAGUGCAUAUUCUAACCAAUCCAAGUGGUGUCCUCAUCGUUUUCAUAUCUCUACUUCCUUCGACAAGUUAAAAUUGAUCAUAACUUGAAUAUAAGUCACCCAUUGAAUAGAUCGCCUUUCUUGCAAACGCCUCAGCAAAUUCAUCCACAAUAGGUCCAAUUCUUGUAUUCCUGACAGUUACUGCAUUCACCGGUUGCAUAUCUUCAAUAAACCGUAGUGACUCAUUCUUCUUAGGUACCGUAAACCAUCGAUUAGAAUACGGCGCAAAUGAGGGUUUCAAUAUUUUCAUCUUCAUCUUUGCUUUUAUUAGUUCCAUUAAUUUAGAUAAAUGUGUCCUCGGUAUUGGAAGCAGUCCUAGAUUUCAAGGUACAUGCGGUGUCGUAUUACGUGCUUUCCUACUCGAGAAUGCACUGGGCGUCUGGCUGUAGAAGGUAGUAUGGAGAUUUGCUAAUAUUCAAGCAGUCUAUUGGUUUUUGACUAUUGGAAUAUAAAUGAUUGUAAGAUUAUACCUUAAAUCUAUACGGAUGUCCUUCGACUGCUCGCCAAAAUCUUUUUUGUCCCAGUCGGUAGGUUUCUAGACAUUACAGAGAACCCCGAACAAUCCAAUCUGCUAAUCUCCAAUAACGCUUUAUACUCACGAUCUUGUAUCCACUGACUGACUGGUUAGAUUAAUCCAAAAAUUUUCAUUCACUCCGCAUACUCAAUCCGAUAGACACCUUUUUAAUUCUUCAAUCAUAGACGUAAUUUUAAUUUUACGAAACAGUCAAGAGUAAUCACACCCACUUCAUUAAAAUCCCGAUUCAUCAGUACAAUACAUCGACCUCUCAGCAUUGAUCGCUAGAAGUCCUUUUUCUGACCCCUACCCAAAAACCUUGUAUCCUCCCUUCUUCUUAACCUCCCUAAUUUCCGAAUCUCUGAAUCCUCUCCUCCACCCUAACCAUUUCCGAAUGUUUUUUUUCUUUCCUCUCAAAUCCUAGCCUCUGAAUUUCUUUAAUCUUUCGUCUUGAAUCCGGAAUUGGCUCUGCCGUCAGAGCUUUCUCCUCUAUUUUUUAUCUUUUAAAAGGUUCUUUUUCCAGAAACAACGUUCCCUAAAAUAGCACAGAGAACAGGACAGCCUGAAACGGAAUUGAAACCCCCGUAAUCAAGACCACAUUGAGUCGCCUGACCAAAUCAAGUCUCAUAUUAGCUAAGAGGCCCGUAGUAAGACCUGGAUGUUCCUGUAAUUGGGUCAAAUUGGUCCUUCGCAUCAGGCUCGCUUAGUCAUCGAUUUAGUCCUUUUAAUUCUGUUGACUCCCACUAUUGGACUCGAACGGAGCAUUUCGUUACUGGUAAGUGUGCCUUGACCGACUGUGAUGGAGUAUCUGAACUGGCCCCUGAAUAUUGGCAUUGGAAUCGGUCGUUGCUCCCAAUAUUCGAGGUAACUGAAUAUUAAUAAAAGUCCCCUUUCUUUAUAUUUUCAUGGUAUACUCGUCUUACAACACGACAUCCACCCCCUCUGAAUCUGUGCAUCCUCCGAUAUGUACCAAUUUAUCCAAUUGCUGUUUGAUUUAUAAUAUAUUCUCUACAUCUUUGUCCAGUUCAUCUUCGUCACCUUCAUUAUCCAAAUCACUUUCAUCUUCUUGCUACGUUGUCGUGUUGUAACACGAGUAUGCCGUGAAAAUAUAAAGAAAGGGGACUUUUAUUAAUAUUCAGUUACCUCGAAUAUUGGGAGCAACGACCAAUUCUAGUGCAAAUACUGAGAGGCCAGGUUCAGUCACCCCAUUACAGUCAGCCGGGGCAUACUGAAAUGCUCCAUUCGAUUCCAAUAACGGAAGUCAGCAGGAAGGGAAAGGACCAAUUCAACGAUGGAUGAGCCUCGUUCGAAGAGCCAAUUAGAUCCAAUUUCAAGACAUCCAAUCUAGAUCGUCUUACCCAAUAUGAGACUUGACUUGGUCAAGAAACCCAAUGCGGUCCAAUUGCGGGAAUAUCCAGGUCUUACUAUAGGCCUCUUAUCUAAUAUGAGACCUGAAUUAGUCGGGCGACUCAAUGUUGUCCCGAUUACGGGGCUCCGAUUCCGUUUCAAGGUGUUCCGUCCUUUGUGCCAUUCGAGGAACGUCCUUUCGGUAAAAGGAUCUCUUAAAUGUAAAAACAAACGAGAAAGCUCUGACGGCGGAGCCAAUUCCGGAUCCAAGACGAAAGAUUGAAGAAAUUCAGAGGCUAGGGUUUGAAGGAGGAGAGAAUUAGGGUUAAAGAGGAGGAUAGGUUAAGAAAUGGAGGAGGAGAGAAUAAGAUUUUGGGAGAGAAGGAUCAAAGAGCUAGCUUCAUACUUCGGGAAGGAGAAAAAAGACAGAGAAUUGGAUUUUUUUUCUUCAUAGGGUUUUGGGAAGACUGAGACAAUCGUUGCUGAAGUCAGUGUUUUAAUGGUGAAUCAAGAUUUUUAAUGAAGUGGGUUUGAUUACUCUUGACUGUUUUGUGAAAUUGAAGUUACGUCUGUGAUUGAAGAAUUAAAAAGGUGUCCAUAGGAUUGAGUAUGCGGAGUGAAUGAAAUUUAUUGGGUUAAUCUAACAAGACAGUCAGUGGAUACAAGAUCGUGACUAUAAAGUCGUAUCAAAGAUUAGUAGUUUGGAUUGUUCAGGGUUCUCUAUAACGUCUAAAGACCUACCGACUGGGGCAAAAAGGACUUCAGUGAGCAAUCAAAGGGCAUCCGUAUCGAUUUACAAUGUAUUCUUACAGUUGUUUAUAUUCCAACAGUCAAAAACAGAUAGAUUGCUUGAAUAUUAGCGAAUCUCCAUACUACCUUCUACAGCCAGACGUCCAGCACGUUCUCGAGCAAGAAAGUACGUAAUAUGACAAAAAAGUGGUGAACUCGACUUGAAAGCUUGAGGUGGAAGGUAUUGGAUUUCGUUUGGUUUUAUUUUUACUUUUAUGGAAAAUGAAAAUAAAAAUUUUGAAGGAUCUUUGGGAGGAGUUUCUGGUGGGGGUUCUUCUAAAGGACAAGGUAUGCACAUGGAUCCGUCUAUUGCUAGUAUGUUUCAAGCCUUCUCAUUAUCAAUGCAGCAAUAGCAAAGCAAUGAUCGAAAGGAAGCUUUGGAAACCAAAGCAUUGCAAGCAAUGGUCAAUAAAAUUGAUCAAUUUGAUGGAACGAAUAUUUCAAGGUAUUUAAGAUGUUAUGUUCGUGAAAUGGAAUUAAAUCGGGUUUUUGAGAAGAAAAUGGUUGAAUUAUUUUGACUUGCCACGAUACCGGAGAUAAGACACCAUAUUACAUUGAUUACGGAUCGUUAUGGGAAUUCAUGGGAGGUUUUUUCACAUGCAUUGAAAGACGAAUAUUUCUUAGAAGAUGCUGAUCGCGUUACUAAGAAGCUAUUUCUCGAAUGGAUUGAACGGCCAAAUAAGAAUUUGCAAGCAAUAGAGCUACUAAGGGAAUUUGAGAGGCAGGACUCUCAAUUAUCGAAGGUAGAAAAAUUGACAUUUGAGCCGAACAAAGUUGAUCUAUUUCUUCAAGCUGCUGAUGGAGAAUUGCAAGGGAAAUUAGAACUCCUUCUUGAAAAUAAAGAAGAAGAUGAAGGAUUGACAACAAAGUAGAAGAACAUUGAAGAUGCGGUGGGGUUGCUUACAAAAAGAGAAAAGAGGAAGGAUAGGAGUAAUAUUCCAAAAACAGUACAAGCACCCAAAGCUCCAGUAUGUACAACACCACCAACAAUGCCUACAGUUCAACCUUCGACAUCCUUAUCAAAGAAAGUAGAUAUGACAAUGGAAGAAAUUAUAUGAAGAAUGCAAGAUCUUCAAAUCAAAUUAGCAAGACUUGAAGAGAAUACUUCUACAAACAAUUUGAAGAAUGUUUGAAAACAAGGAUAUGUACAAAGAUGCAUUUGGUGUGAUGACACUUCACACACUAGGAAAGAUUGCAAUGAAUUUAAUAAUAUGAUACGGCAAGGAAUUAUUUGCUAGAAAGAUGGAAAGAUAGCAUUAAAAGAUAGGGAGGAUCUUCUUGAAACCAAUUUUGGUAAGGGAAGAAUGAGAGCAUUAGUUCAAGAUUACUUAAAAGUGCAUGAAACAAUAGCACGAGAAAGUGCAAGUUAUGGUGCUAGAGUAGAUGAUGACCUUGGUGAAAGUACGGAAACUAGUGAGUUUUGGACUUCUGUCAUUUCUACAAUGCAAGAAGGGAAAUUACCUCGAGAAGCGUUAUUGAAGACUGCAGCUACAAUACAAGGUGCAAUACUAGAGAAGGAAAUUCUUCUAAGAGAUAAACUCGAGGAGACAAGGCUCGGGAGGCAGCUUCACAUGAAUUGCCUGUAAAGGAUACCUCAGCAUCAUUGGGAGAAAAAACAAAGGAGACAAAAGAUAAGGGCAAAUCAAUUACUUAUAAGCUACUUUCUGACAUUGAAGCGGCAACAAAUUUGAAAGGGGUGUUGGAAGAACGUAUAUUAAAUGCUAAGGUGGAAUUCACAUUGAAAGAAGUCUUGGAAAUUACAAAGAAGGAGUUUCAUGAUGUUAUCAUUGACAGCAUUAAGCGAAAGAGGCAAUUAAUGGGCGAAAUUGGAAUGAGUUAUGCUAUUGAUGCAAGAAUAUAUAAAGAUGAAGAAGAGGUUGAUAUUGAUUACAAGCAACCAAUAAAUGAAAAGAAUGGGUAUAAUCAACGAGUACAUUUUGAAGAUUAUAGUGAUAAGGAAAUGGAAACUUUGAGCCAUUAUACUCGAAAGCAUUGGGCAAGGGCAACUACUAAGAUAUUGGUGAAAGUAGGAGAUAUAGAAGAACCAAUUGUUGCUUUAGUCGACCAUGGUUCUGAAAUAAAUCUCAUGUCUAAAGAUCUUUAUAAGAAGCAAAAAUGGCCAAUUGAUAUGGAACAUGGAUGGGCAAUACAAGCAGCUAAUAAUACACAGGGCAAAUUAUAUGGAGCUUGUCCAGAUGUCAAAAUUCGGAUUGGAGAUGUUGCGACGGAGCAACAUUUCUUUGUUCAAGAUACAACGUCUUAUCCGUUGAUUUUAGGACAACCUUAUAUUAUGGCAACACGGAUGGAAACAAAAGUACUUGACAAUGGUUCUGCUUAUGCAAGGAUACGUAGCAAAGAUGGGAGGAAAGUUGUACAAUUUCUAACAGUACCUCCUAACCAUGAACGGAAUCGAGAUAGGUUGAGGGAGAAACCAUUGCCAAAGAUUGUUGAAAGAUUUAAGGAUUUUGGGGAGGUACCACUGUAAAGCGAGAUUAUGGAGGUACAAAAGAGGAGGUACUCUCACGAGAUGAAGGUGCCUUUGAUGCGAUUUUUAUUGGUAUUUUAGAGAAUGGAGAUAUUAUGUAUAAGAAAGUUGAUGAUUUUAAAAGAAAAGAAAAAAAAAGAGAUUAUAUGAUAUUGAAGGAGAAUUAUGCAAGUUAGGUACGCAGCAAGAAGAUGAAAGUGAUUUGGAUAAUGAAGGUGACGAAGACAAACUGGAUAAAGACGUAGAAAAUAUAUUCUAAAUUAAACAGUAAUUGGGUAAAUUGGUGCAUACCGGAGGAUGCAAAGGUUCAGAGGGGGUGGAUGUCGUAUUGUAACACAAGUAUACCGUGAAAAUAUAAAGAAAGGGGACUUUUAUUAAUGUUCAGUUACCUCAAAUAUUGGGAGCAACGACAAACCCCAGUGUAAAUACUGAGAGGCCAGGGUCAGUCACCCCGUUACGGUUAGUCGGGGCAUACUGAAAUGCUCCGUUCGAUUCCAAUAAUGAGAGUCAGCAAAAAAAGAAAGGACCAAUUCAACGACGGGUGAACUUGGUUUGAAGAGUCAAUUGAAUCCAAUUUCAAGACAUCCAAUCUAGGUCCUAUUAUGGGCCUCUUAGUCAAUCUGACGCGAAGGAUCAAUUUGACCCAAUUAUGGGAACAUCCAAGUCUUACUACAGGCCUCUUAGCCAAUAUGAGACUCGAAUUGGUCGAGCGGCUUAAUGUGGUCCCGAUUAUGGGGGUUCCGAUUUAGUUUCUCGCUGUUCCGUCCUUUGUGCUGUUCCGAGAACGUCCUUUCGAUAAAAGGAUCUCUUAAAAGUAAAAAUGGAGGAGAAAGCUCUGACGGCUGUCAAUUCCAGAUCAAAGAUGGAAGAUUGAAGAAAUUCAGAGGCUAGGAUUUGAGAGAGGGAAGAAUUAGGAUUAAAGGAGAGAGAAUAGGUUUUGUUGAAGGAUCAGAGAGCUAGCUUCAUGCUUCGAGGCGGGGAAAAAAGACAGAGAUUUGGGAUUUUUUUUCUUCAUAGGGUUUUGGGAAGACUGAGGCAAUCGUUGCUGAAGUCAGUGUUGUAAUAGUGAAUCGAGAUUUUUAAUGAAGUGGGUGUGAUUACUCUUGGCUAUUUUGUGAAAUCGAAGUUACGUCUGUGAUUGAAGAAUUAAAAGGGUGUCUAUAGGAUUGAGUAUGCGCAGUGAAUGAAAUUUAUUGGGUUAAUCUAACAAGACAAUCAGUGGAUACAAGAUCGUGAGUAUAAAGCGAUAUCAAAGAUUAGCAGUUUGGGUUAUUCAGGGUUCUCUGUAACGUCUAGAGACCACCGACUAGGACAAAAAGGACUUCGGCGAGCAGUCGAAGGACAUCUGUAUAGAUUUACGGUGUAUUCUUACAGUUGUUUAUAUUCCAACAGUCAAAAACCGAUAGACCGCUUGAAUAUUGGCAAAUCUUCAUACUACCUUCUACACCCAGAUGCCCGACAUGUUCUUAAGUAGGAAAGCACGUAAUACAACAGCAUACCUAACUUGCAUAAUUCUCCUUCAAUAUAAUAUAAUCUUUUUCUUUCUUUUCUUUUAAAAUCAUCAACUUUCUUAUAUAUAAUAUUCCAUUCUCUAAAAUACCAAUAAAACUUGUAUCAAAGGCACCUUCAUCUCGCAAGAGUACCUCUUCUUUUGUACCUCCAUAAUCUCGCUUUAUAGUGGUACCUCCCCAAAAUCCUUAAGUCCUUCAACUAUCUUUGGCAAUGGUUUCUCCCUCAACCUAUCUCGAUUCCAUUCAUGGUUAGGAGGUACUAUUAGAAAUUGUACAACUUUCCUCCCAUCUUUGCUACGUACCCUUGCAUAAGCAAAACCAUCGUCAAGUACUUUUGUUUCCAUUCGUGUUGUCGUAAUAUAAGGUUUUCCUAAAAUCAAUGGAUAAGACGUUGUAUCUUGAACAAAAAAAUGUUGCUCCGUUGCAACAUCCCCAAUCCGAAUUUUGACAUGUGGACAAGCUCCAUAUAAUUCGCCCCGUGUGUUAUUAGCUGCUCAUAUUGUCCAUCCAUGUUCCAUAUCAAUUGGCCAUUUGUGCUUCUUAUAAAGAUCAUUAAACAACCUCUUCUUAAGGUAAUAAUCAAAUUAUAUUCUACAACCAACUAAAAUAUAUUAACAUGGCUCUCACCAUGUUACUUAAUAAAGUAUAUAUUAAGUACAUAAUUAUAUUAUUUUUAUAUAAUAGCCAAAUCACAAUACGACAACGAUACAUUCUUCUACAAAAUAAACACCUUUCUUUGCUAAUUACGGUUAUCAUCCAUGACUUGAUACUUUUGACUUUUUUAAAAGUUGAUAAUCUUAUUGCAAAAGAUUUGGUAAUUCAUUUGUCAAAGCUACAUGCAAUGAUGAAGGCACAAUUAAAAGAAGCUCAAGAACAACAAAAGGUCAAUGCGGAUGUCUUUCGAAAGGAACAACCACCAUUCUACAUGGGUGAUAAGGUAUAGUUACUUUGUCGCAAUAUCAAGACUACUUGUCUUUGUGACAAGUUGGACUAUCGAAAGCUUGGACUAUUUUCUAUUUUUGUAUAAAUUAAUCUAGUUGCAUAUCUUUUACACCUAUUGUAGUUAAUAAAAAUUCAUCCAAUAUUCCACGUAUCUCUUCUUGAACCAUACAAGACAGUGGACAUACUAAAAAGAAGACAAGCUCUACCUCCUCCUAUGGAAAUAGAGAAUAAUGAAGAGUUUGAAUUGAAAGAAGUCUUAUAUUCAAGGCGGCACCAAAAUAAAUUAGAAUAUCUUGUCCAUUGGCACGGAUAUGAUAUUAGUGAAUGUACAUGGGAGCUAGUAAAGAAUCUUAUAAAUGCAGCAAAGGUGAGAGAGACUUUUCAUCGACAACAUCCAUGAAAAUUAAGAUGAAAAUCUUCCUUAUAAAAGAAACAAGAUCUAAGCAAGAUAAAAUUAUACUUUAAAUUCUUGUUUGUAGCUUCUUUGUAGUUGUGGCGCUGAGGAGAUGGAGAACCAACAACCAACAGAUUCGACUUAAGAGCCUUUGUUUGCUGACUUGCCGGAUGAGACAUUAUGAUUGUUACAACCUUUAAGAUGAUGCAAUUGAGAUGAAGAUCUUCAAGAACGACAUGUUCUUCCUCAAAUAGAUGGCGAGAUACAAUGCAUUUGGUAUCACGACCUUGAAAGGGACUCCCAAUGUUUGGUGAUUUUAGUAAAGGUAGGAAUAACUCCUGACGAUGUUCCAAAUAUUUUAUUCAAAAGAAGUUAUGAAGGCCUCAAUAAUGAUCAAAUAAGUGAGUAGUCUUCCCUUCCUAAUAUCGAACACUACCGAUGAUUGAGAGGCCCUAUCAAUCUUCUUUGAAGAAAACAAAGAUCAGAGUAUGUGGCGAAUAUAAUUUGUCACAUCAUAGUUUUUUUAUACAUAUGAUGACCACUCUUCAUGGAACUCGUCCCUAGAAAGGGAGGUAAUGUCAUGGACAUAUGCAUGUAAGAAAAUAAUUACAUAUAUAAAUAAGUAGAAGUAAGUUAAAAUAAGUAAAAGUAAGUUAAUUCUAUAAUAUUUACUAUGGAAGCUUCCUAGAAGCCUCAUAGAUACUACUUUGACUUUAUAAGUGUCUUUAAUUGACUUUUUGGAUUAGAAACGUGGUCAACAAGUUGGCCAUGUGCCACACAUUUUAUUAGCUUGAAGACCAAGCUAAUUAUAUGGCCCGCACGUAGAAAAACUUGUCUUGUAAGUCAAGGCAUGUGAACACAAAGUAAACACAUAUUGGAGGUCCUAUAGAAUAUUGCUACGUAGCCCCUAGUUAGAUAGUAUAUAUAGAGACAAGAGUGAAGCCUUUUUCACUCCUGUCAAGUCCUUUCUUGCUUCAAGUCUAAUUUCAAGGGUCUCUAAUUUUCUUGAUUUUUGGCAAUAGCCAUUCCAGUUUCUUUCUUAAUAUACAUAUCAAGUUAUUUCUAUUUUGUCAUCUUUUUUUGAGAAAAGACUGAUUUAUUUAUUUAUUUUUAUCAUAUUCUUGUCUUUGACAGCUUUUCAAAAUAGAGAGUGCAAUGGUACAAAUAUAAGAGCAAUUGAAAAAUUAAUGCUUGCGAUGCAUCAAUUCAAUUUACUACCAUAAGAAGCAAUAAAAAUGAUAGGAAGUAAAGUUAUAGAGAUAAUUAGAGCUGCUUCAAUAUCUACAUCAAAUCAUAUUCUUUUUUUUUAAUAGAAUAUUCUUUCAAUAUUAGACAAUUAAGGAUUACAUUGGUCAAGAAGUUUGAUGGCACAAGAUUUGAGUUUCAAGUAUUUAUUAAUUAAGUAUAACUUGUGGUUGAACUUUAAUUCCAAAGCUAUCUAAUUUUAGGAUUAUAAGUUAGAUUCAUUGAUACAUUCCUUUCAAGUUCAGCAAUAUCAUAGUUUUUAUCUUUUUUAAAUAAUGAUAUUUAAUAUUAAAUAACUUGGAAGCUUUUUUGGCAAAGUUUCAAUCAAUGUAUGGAGAAUAUGAUACAAUUUGUAUUGCAACCAAUAAAUUUUUUAUUUUUCAACAAGACAAUAAAUUGAUAAUAUUAUAUGCUUCAUAGUUUUGAUAACUUACAAUUCAUAUCAAGUAGAAUGAUGUUGCACUUGUUAGCCAAUUUUUCUAUAAAUUAUAAUAUGAAGUAAAAAAUUUAAAGAUCAACUUACAUAACUUUCAAAAAUUGAGUGAAGCAAUUGACUUUGUUGUGAGAUGUAACAAUUGACUUUUUGAAUUUUGAUCUAAGAGUUACAUAAGUACAUCUCAAUAUUACUUUAAUUCAAUGACAAUGCCAAUAUCUUCUCAACACUUACAUUUGGAAGUAAAGGAUAUGCAAAUUAAUGCAAUAUUUUUCAAACCUCUUACAAAGCAAAAGAAAACUUAUCAUUAUUAAGAAGGAUUGUGCUUAUAUUAUGGAGAAUCUAAGUAUUGAAGAAAAGAAGUCUAAAAGCUACAAACACUUAGCAUCAGUAAGGAUUGUAGUCUAAGAGAAGUGUGGAGAAAGAUGACUUUUACUUCCAACACUCUUUACUUAUAGGUGGUGGUUUGUUCACCAACGAGGCAACUUCCAUCCUUUUGAUAUUACAUCCAUUUCUACCUCAUCCAACUAAAUCCUUGAUGCCACCACAAUAAUUUACUUUAAUUCUUUACUAUCUUUUUACUAUUAGUAAUAUACUAUGCUUAAUUUCUAUGUAGUUGUAACUAAGCAAGUACUUCUUGAUCUUCAAUACUCUCACUUUGCUAAUAUUCAAAAGGCUUUUAAUCUUAAUCUCUGAAUCUAGUCAUGAUGUCUAUCCUUCAUGAAUGUUUUUAUAAGCACAUCAGUAAGCAUGUCAUUUGUAAUACAAUACUUCAUACCUAUUAUUCUAUCUUCAAUCUUCUCUUGUAUGAAAUAAUGUUGAACAUCAAUGUGCUUAGUCCUUGAGUAGUGGUUUGGAUUCUUGGUAAAUGCAAGACAUCCUUGAUUAUCACACAUAAUGAGAGUUGCUUCUAAUUGCACUAGAUCAAUGUCUUCUAAGAGUUGUCUUAUCCAAUAUGCCUCUAUUACACAAUGACUUGCUGCCAUGUACUCUGCUUCCAUCGUUGAUCUUGUAAUGAUAGGUUGUCUCUUGUAAUUCUAUGAAAUGGCUCCCAUUCCAAUGAAGAAUACAUAUCCUGUUGUGGAUCUUCUAUCAUUUGCAUCUCCAACCCAAUCCGCAUCACAAUAACCUUACAAGUCAAUGUUCUUACCACCAAGGCACAAUUUAAAGUCUUUUGUACCUUUUAAGUACCUCAAUAUCCUCUUUACCGUUUUCCAAUGCAUUGGUCUAGCCUUAGAUAUGUGUUGGCUUACAAUACUCACUACAUAUGCAAGAUCCACUCUUGUGGCCACCAUUGCAUACAUGAGUGAGCCUACUACUACUGUAUAGAACACUUUGUAUCUCACCUUCAAUUUAUGCAAACUCCUCAUCCGUGAGCUUCAUCAACUUCAAAUUUGUCUCGAAGGGUGUUCCAAUAGGCUUACACUCCUUUAUAUUGAAUCAUUUCAACACUUCUUCAAUGUACUUGAUUUUGCUCAUUGUAAUGGUCUUGUUAUUAUGAUCUCUUACAAAUUCCACUCCCAAGCAAUAGUGCAACUCUUCCAAAUCACUCAUCUCAUAUUCCUUCUCUAAUUUGGCCUUCAUCCAAUCCAUCUUUUCCAUAUUGUUAGCCAAGAUGAUCAAAUCAUCAAUAUAAAGGAUUACAAUCAGCAAGAACUCUCUAGAUUGCAUCACAUACAAUGAAUGAUCAGCUUUACUCCUCACAAAUCCUUCAUUGACAAAGAAGAUGUCAAUUUGUUGGUACCAUGCCCUUGAUGAUUGUUUUAAUCCAUACAAAGAUUUCUUCAAUUUGCACACAAGAUGUUCUUUGCUUUGGUAUACAAAUCUUUGAAGUUGAUCCAUGUAGAUGUCUUCUUGUAAUUUUCCAUUCAAAAAGGCCGUCUUCACAUCCAUUUGGUAUAUUUUCAAAUCCAUUGCUGCUCCAAUUGCUAUAAUGAUCCUAAUGGAGGUGAAUUUGGCAAUGGGUACAUAAGUCCCAUUGAAAUCAAUUCCAACAACUUCUCAAUAUUCUUUUGCAUUUAAUCUUAUCUUGUGCCUCACCACCACAUCCAUUGCAUCUCUUUUAGUCUUAAACACCCACUUAAAACCAACACUAGAUCGAUUUAUUGGAAAAGGUACCAAUUUCCAUAUACCAUUGUGUAUAAGAGAUAUGUACUCUUCUUCCAUAGCCUUCUUCCACUUGAUUGCAUCUUCACACCUCAUAGCAUCACACAAAGAUAAUGGAUUAGCAAAAAGAGCAAUAUUUGCAUAUUCUUUACUUACUUGAAGAAAGAUGUGAUCCUUCCACCAUUCGCCACAUUGCCUUCUUUCUCUCAAAGGAUAUCUCCUUUCACUUGUAGAAGAACAUUCACCUUCUUGCACUCCUUGUUCCUUUCCAACUCUUAAACCUUGUCAUUUUUCACUCAAUGAUUGUUACUCUUCAUCAUUAUCAUCAUCUCAAUCUUCAACAUCUUCAUUUCUUUCAUUACUGGUUCUAGUAAUUGUAGGAGCCUUCAUCUUUUCAACCUUCUUUGGCUUUUAUAAUUGUAAGAACCUUCAUCUUCUUAUUUCUUUGCUGAAUUCAAAGAUGUAUCUACAAACCUAUCAUUAUUCUUACUUGGAUACAUCUCCAAGUGCUCACAAGCACUCUUGUGCUUCAAAAACUCAACAUCACGACUUUUGAUGAACUUCUUGGUUUCCAAGCACAUUAGCCUAUAUGCCUUAGUACCUUCACAAUAACCAAGAAACACACACUUUCUAUCUUUUGUAUCAAAUUUGGACCUCAUACAAUUUGGUGUUUUUACAUAUGCAAUGCAACCAAAGGUUCUCAUAUGAGAAAUGCAAGGUUGUCGCCGACUCCAAGCUUCUUGUGGUGUCAUUGAUGUAAGAGCACUUCUUGGACACCUAUUUCUUGUAUACACUACAUUCACUACAGCUUCCACCCAGAACUCAUAGCCAAGAUUUUGAGCAUGAAACAUGCUCAUUGCCAUCUUUAUAAUGGUUUGAUUUGCCCUUUCAGCAACAUCAUUUUGUUGUGGAGUGUAUGGAAUUAUGGUUUGUCUAGCAAUUCCUUCAUUCUUCAAAUAAACAUCAAAUUAUUUAGACAUGUAUUCUCUUCCAUUGUCUAUACGCAACACUUUGAUCUUGCAUUCACUUUCUUUCUCAAUAAGUGCUUUAAAUUCCUUAAACCUCCAAAAAUAUUCACUCUUGGCUUUAAGAAUGUAGAUCCAAAUCUUUCUCAAAUAAUCAUCAAUGAAAGUGAGAAAAUACCUUGAUCCUCCAAUACUUGUGUUCUUCAUAGGUCCACAUACAUCCAAAUGGACAAUCUCCAGUGACUUGGUAGCAUAUUGUCAUGUUGUGGUUCGGCUACUAUAUGAAAAUAAUAUAAUUAUGUACUUAAUAUAUACUUUAUUAAGUAACAUGGUGAGACCCAUAUUAGUAGAUUUUAGUUGGUUGUAGAAUAUAAUUUGAUUAUUACUUUGAGAAGAGGUUGUUUAAAAAGGUUACUAUAGAAUUUGUAUAACUUUAAUUUCUUUUUGAUAGUCGCUUUUAAGAUUGGGUUUAAUUGAUAGUAACUUCUAAAUAUUUAGAGUCACCUUUGUUAGACAUUGGUGAUCAUUGGAAACUUAUUUUGGUUCUUUUAUUUGAUGUUUAGAGCAUAAAUUAUGUAAAUCUUAUAAGAAAAAGGAUUGAAGAAGGAUUUUGGUGGAAAAGAGAGUAAUUAGGGCACCAAUAUAGAUGAAUGGAGAUGGAUGAUGAAAAUCUCUAUUCCUAUUGAUCAAAAAUCAUGACCAAUGGGCUUUGAGGAGGCUGCCCAAGGCCAUAUUAGGGAUUAGGGUUAGUUUCUUCGAGGCCAUUUGAGUUUCAAAGGCUAAGGUCAGAAGGUUUAGGUUCUUCGCUAUGGUUUUGGUGCAAGUUUUGUAUGGUUUGGAGUUUAUAUGAAGGAGAUAUAAGUGCUCAAAGUUAAGGUAUUGAUUUGGGAGCUACUGUCACUCCUUUUGGCAUAACACAUGCGUAUGGACAGCAAUUGAGGAUCGACGACUGUGAUUGAAGAAAGUACUUUUGUAGCUACACUUUUUCUAUAUUGCUUAUAAGAUUCCAAGUUGAACUAAAGGAGUUCUUGGAUUUUAAAGUCAGCACAUGCAAUCUAAGGGUAGUAAGUAAUCCGAUUUGCCACUGGUUGUCUCUUGAGCUAUAUCUUGAGCAAUUUAACAAGGUUUUAAUUCAAAAUUUCAGAAAAUGUAUAAUUUUAUGUUAGUAAACUUUGUGCAUAAUUUUUAUGACAUUUGGAGUUCGGAUUUUUGAGAUAUAAGAAAAAUAGUUUUUUAGGUGCUUGUAAAUUAGGGUUUAGAGUGCCUGCUAGGAUUUCUUAGAUACCAAAAGAUUGGAAGUGAAUUUACAGUUGGUUUUUUUUUUUUAAUAAAAAUUAAGAAUGGAUUCUACCUAUCUUGUAUAUUUGAAACAAACUGAAUAGUUAGAUCAAUAGUUAUGAUUUUUUAAAGUUCGAGGCAAGAAAACCCUUUGCGGGAAAAAUGUGUUUUGAAAGGAUUUUGUUAUACUUGGAGUUUUAUACAAAAAUAAAGGAGUUUUGGAAGCUAAGACAAGAAUCAUAUAAAGGUUUAAGCUACACUUUCUAUAGUUAGAUAUCAUGUGUAUUCCCAGAUAGCAAAUCAUGCCAUACGACAAUGUGUUGCUACACUCUUUGGAAAUGAGGCUCUUUGUUGUUUGCCUUAUAUGCUUCCUUCACAUGCAAGUUGUUUUGAAUUAUUGCUUGUAUUGCCAAGAUCUAAGCCACUUACCAUAGGCUUGAGCUCUCUCAUGCUCUUCACAUUCAAAUAGACAAGGCAACGAUGCCAUAUAUUCAACUUGUCUUAGUUUGUUGUAAAUUCAGCAAAUACGGCUACCUCCACUUCAUUCACCUUCUUACAAAUGAGGUAGUAUAAAUUUCCCUCUUUCAAGCCUUUUAAGAACUUGUCUCCACUCAAUAUUCUUACAAAACAUCCUUUUAUAUCAAAUUGAACUUUAAAACCUUCCAUUACAAGUUUAUUCACUGAAAGUAGGUUUUGCUUCAUCUUAGGCACAUGAAGGACGUUUCUGAAUCUGAUCCUAUUGGUUUGUCCACUCACAGCUACCUCUACUAUAAUAGAGCCAAUUCCAAUAGCUUCAUGUAGAAUAGAUAUUAAUUCGUUUUUGAAAGAUAUUGGUAAAAUAUAUUAAUAGUCCAUAUAAUAAGAAAUUCAGGAGGAUGGAUGAGUGAUUUAGUUCUUAAAAGUGAUUAAUUAUAGAAUUAUGGUUAGAAUCUAGAGAAUCAAGGGAAAGUAUAUAGGAGUUAUAGAAGUUAAUUAGAAUGCCAUUGUUGUGAUAGUUGUGAGCCGGAGUGAGUUUGGUGCUACCUCUUUUCUUUUGUUUGUUAUUUUCUUUGAAUAAGAGGAUUGAGAGUUUCUAAAUAUUGUGAAGUGAAUUAUGGAAUGGAAAUGUGAUUGGUAUUAUUUGAGAAGAAGAAAGAUUGAAUGCUGAAAUCUGAUUGUAGUUCAGCAGAGAGAAUGAGUCUGUGUUUGUGUAAAACAUCGUAAUGUGAAUGGCAGUUCUGUGUGAAGAAUUCCAGUGAUUGGAAUGAAGGUAAUUGUGUGCUGAAAGCUAUGAGGGCACAGUAUUAUAGUUGGAGAUUAUGAGGGUGAAUAUAUUGGUAGAAAUAGCAGUUAUUGGUAUGACUGAAUU
rnacentral:lncRNA from 1 species